UUCCAUGGUAGGGGUGGAAGGUCAACUCUGGCCAGUGAGCUCCAGGGAGAAGGAGACCAAACCAUUCUGACUCCUGGGGACCCUGGAAAGAUAAAGCUACACAAAGGUGACCCUACCAGCCACUGGCCACAUCCUGCCUCUGAAAAAAAGACUGGUGAGCCAUCAUCCUAGAUGAGGGACGGGACACUCAGAAGUAACUCGCUCCAAGCCACACAGCUGACACUCAGGGAGGGUCUGAGACAUCAUGCAGUCCUUUACUGGCAGAUCUCUGGGUCCCGUCCUACACCUCACCUUUCCUGACUUCUUCAGCUCACACCUGGAUCUGCUCCUCCCCACCUCCUCCGGAAGCCUUCCCUGAUGUAUCCAGCCUGGACUCAUGGCCCCUGUACUGUCCUGUCUCCUCCACACCUGUGCAUGUGGACAGCUUCCUACCUGUCAUCGCUGUGCCCACAGCCUGGUACAGAGCCUUGGCUGGCCUCACCAAGUGUGUGAAUGAAUAAACGAAAGAAAGCAUUUCUAGCCAUUCCCUCCCCUCCAGCACUGCCCCUAUCAGCCUUACCUGCCAUGGUCACCCCCGCCUCCUGAGGGGCCUAGGCUCCCAUCCACCAAGGUGACCCUCCUCAAACUCAACCCCACGUGGGUCUGCCCACACCCUGAGGCUUUCCAUGUAAGACAGAGUAGCAACCCCUUCAAAACUGGCCUCUGCUGUGACUUUUUCUGGGUCCCCCAGCAUCUCCAAUGCCUUGGAGUCCUUGUCCCUUCUCACCAAAGCUCUUAAUCUUUCAGCACCCAAUGAAAUCUUGGUGAUUUUUCCUGGAGGCCUCUCACACCCAGACUGGCAUUUCCACCUCCUCCUGGGUACUCUGCUGGCACUUCUUCAGUAGAUGUUUUCGUUUCUGUUUUCUCUCUAGAUAAAGUCUCGUGUAGCCCAGGCUAGCCUCCAAUUCAUUAUGUAGUCAAGGAUGUCUGUGCUGUCAACUUGAGACAAGCCAUUCAUCUGGGAUCAGGGAGCCUCCACUGAGAAAAUGCCUCUGUCAAGUUGUCUAUAGGCAAGUCUGUGGGUCAUUUUCUUGUUAAUGAUUAAUGUGGGAGAACCCAGCCCACUGUGAGCGGCACUGACCCUGGAGAGGUUGUCCUGCGUUAUAUAAAAGUACGCUAUGAAGAGAAGCCAGUAAGCAGAGCCCUCCAGGACCUCUGCUUCAUUCUGUUCCUGCCUCCAGGUUCCUGCUUUGGGUGCUUGCCCUGACUUUCUUCAUGAUGGACUGUAACCUGUAAGGUGAAAUAAACCCUUUCCUACCCAA